CCUACGGGAGGCAGCAGUGAGGAAUAUUGGUCAAUGGGCGGGAGCCUGAACCAGCCAAGUCGCGUGAGGGAAGACGGCCCUACGGGUUGUAAACUUCUUUUGUCAGGGAGUAAGGUGCGGGUCGGGUGCUUCUUUGCGCGUACUUUAUGAAUAAGCAUCGGCUAACUCCGUGCCAGCAGCCGCGGUAAUACGGAGGAUCCGAGCGUUAUCCGGAUUUAUUGGGUUAAAAGGGUGCGUAGGUGGGGUUUAAAGUCAGUGGGAAAAGCGCGGGGCUCAACCCGGAACUGCCGUUGAAACUGGGUGCCUGGAGUGCGGGAGAGGUAGGCGGAAUGCGUGGUGUAGCGGUGAAAUGCAUAGAUAUCACGAAGAACUCCGAUCGCGAAGGCAGCCUACCGGAGUGCAACUGACGUUGAUGCUCGAAAGCGUGGGUAUCAAACAGGAUUAGAUACCCGUGUAGUC
rnacentral:rRNA from 1 species